UCCCCCCGAUCCUGACAUAAGCAUAAACAUUGACGAUAUACUCUCACACCACCAUCCCGCAUAAUCUGCCCCCGAUCGCGUAAGCGGCAUCUUCUUUUCAAGUACGUUUAUGCGGUUGCAAAUACGUUUAUGCAGUGUCGACACGUUUAUGCAUGCAUGAAUGUUACUCACCCAUUCACCUCCGCAUCCACAUCCAUCCCCGCAUUUACCAUCCUCCUCCACACAAACUAUCGACGUGCGAUGAUCUUAGCGCUCCCUCCUUUCUGCCAUCCUCAUAGGCAAAUCAAAAAAGGCUUUGCCCUUAAAGGGAAAAAGGUGGGGGAGGGGCACAUGAAUAAGCUUUGAAUGCUCGUUAACAACAUCUCUAUAGGUUGUUGGGCUUAACCUAACACGAGCCGGUUACUAUAAGAAACGCAAAGUUUAUAUUUUCAAAAGAGGUGGGGUACGAUAGGCAAGGUGUUUGAGUGGAGUAGUAGAAGCCAAUCUAGUAAGGAACUGACUUUGGGCUUUGGAUAUGAUUGGCAUCCACAUUAACUUUGUGGGCAGUGGGGCUAGCGGGGGUAGAAUUUUGUAAGCAAAGGUUUUUAAGGAUAUUUUCAAAACACUCGCUGCCCUUCCCCUUCAGCUCCAACAUUACCAAUUUACUUGCUUCAUCUCUCCCCAUCCUCUUUGUAAUAUUCUGGCUUUGACAAUCUCGAUGAAUUUGGUAUUGUUUCUCUUCCAUUCGAUUUGUGUCCUAGGCGUACCUUGUUGUACCU